AUGCGGGAGAUGACUGCCGCGGCUGAGGCGACCGAGGCGACCGAGCCGCCGAUGCCGGAGCCACCGCCCGCGCCGCCGACCACGGUGAACGAGGAGUCUGCUGAGGAGCUGCGGGAGCGGGCGCCGCCGCCGGAAUCAUCUCCGCUAAUCACGCAGGCACGUGAGGGGGAUGGAGAGAGGGUGGUGGUCGUGCCGCCGCCGCCGGCAUCGCCUCCGCUGAUCAAGCCGGCGCUUGGGGGCGUGGUUCCGGCUGCCUUCUCGUCGUCUCCGGCGCUGCCACGGCCGCCAGGCUAUGCUGCCUCCGAGUCUGACUCGGAUCUGGAUCACGAUCCGUUCGCCAAUCCGUCCGAUGAAGUGCGUUGGAGAAUUCGUUUCAAGAUGACCGGAGGAUGGAGAUCUGGCGGGAUGGUUUCGUGUAGAUGCAUCCGUGCUCAAGUUGGACGACGGUGA
rnacentral:rRNA from 1 species